rnacentral:rRNA from 1 species
UACGUAGGCAGCGAGCGUUGUUCGGAGUUACUGGGCGUAAAGGGUGUGUAGGCGGUUGUUUUAAGUUUGGUGUGAAAUCUCCCGGCUCAACCGGGAGGUGCGCCGAAUACUGAAUGACUUGGAGUGCGGGAGAGGAAAGUGGAAGUUCCUGGUGUAGCGGUGAAAUGACGUAGAUAUCAGGAGGAACACCGGUGGUGUAGACGGCUUUCUGGACCGUAACUGACGCUGAGACACGAAAGCGUGGGUAGCAAACAGG